rnacentral:rRNA from 1 species
UACGGAGGGGGCUAGCGUUGUUUGGAAUUACUGGGCGUAAAGCGCACGUAGGCGGCUUUGCAAGUUAGAGGUGAAAGCCCGGGGCUCAACUCCGGAAUUGCCUUUAAAACUGCAUCGCUAGAAUUGUGGAGAGGUAAGUGGAAUUCCGAGUGUAGAGGUGAAAUUCGUAGAUAUUCGGAAGAACACCAGUGGCGAAGGCGACUUACUGGACACAUAUUGACGCUGAGGUGCGAAAGCGUGGGGAGCAAACAGG